CCCGCUGAACUUAAGCAUAUCAAUAAGCGGAGGAAAAGAAACCAACAGGGAUGGCCCCAGUAACGGCGAGCGAAGCGGCCACAGCUCAGAUUUGAAACCGGGCAACCGGAUUGUAAUCUGCAGAGGAGGAUCCGGCAGCGGCAGAGUUAAAGUCCUCUGGAAAGGGGCGCCUCAGACGGUGAAAGCCCGGUAAAACUCAUGCCAACGCCAUACGGGCCUCUCUCAACGAGUCGAGUUGUUUGGGAAUGCAGCUCUAAUUGGGAGGUAAAUUCCUUCUAAGGCUAAAUAUCCGCCAGAGACCGAUAGCGAACAAGUAGAGUGAUCGAAAGAUGAAAAGCACUUUGGAAAGAGAGUCAAACAGCGCGUGAAAUUGUUGAAAGGGAAGCGCUCGUUGUCAGCCGUGGUAGUUUGCUCAGCUAGUCCGUCAAGGGCUGGUGUGUUCAGUCUGCCAGGCCAGCAUCGGUUUGGGCAGUCGGAUAAAAGCGUGGGAACGUAGCUCCUCUCGGAGUGUUAUAGCCCGCGUAGACACGACUCGUCCAGACCGAGGUUCUGCGAUUUUCUCAGAUGCUGGCGUAAGGGCACCGAGCGGCCCGUCUUGAAACACGG
rnacentral:rRNA from 1 species